rnacentral:misc_RNA from 1 species
UGCGACGGUGGCUAGUAGAAUGGAGAAAAGCACUGCUUUAACAAUAAACCCUGAAGCAGUGAAACGACUUGAAAGCAUCUUAAAUGAUUCAUCUUAUCGAGAAGCUGUAGAAAACUCUGCAAAUUAUAAUACUCAUCUGUGCUCAGAGAGAAAAACUAGACUUCCAUUUUUGGAUGCUCAAACUGGAGUUGCCCAAAGUGACUCUAAUCUCUGGAUGCCAAAAUGGCAAAGAAUGCCUGGCCAGAAUGAAGGACAACUAUAUACUUACCCUGCUCGACGCUGGAAGAAGAAACGAUGGCAGUAUUUAAUGAAUGACAGAUAUCUCACUGGAAGGAUACGUGAAACAGAUGCUACUGAAACAGACAUCCAUCAAAUCAGUGUUGUGGAAAAUGCUGCUGUUGGUCUUGAAGAUGGAGGAGAGAACAGUCUUGACAAAGUUACUGAAGAUUCUAAAGAUUCGUGGUUUCGAGAAUAUGAGGAUGUGAAUGAAUUCCCUGAUCUUGGUGAUCCUGAAGAUCCAGAAACUGAUUUUGAUGAUUUUGAAGAAACUUACACUCGUAAAAAGAAAAGAAAAGUUCGGCAAAGCACUCGAGGUAGAAAGAGAGGAGAAAGAAUAGAAUAUACAGAUGCUGAGAAGCCGUACAGUUGUGAGAUUUGUGGUGCCCGCUAUAAGACGAGACCUGGAUUGUCUUAUCAUUACACACACAGCCACAACAAUAGCUCUGACACUGCAGAAGAAGAACCAAGCUAUGUUCCUCCAAAAGCGGCACUGUCAUCUUCACUUUCUCACUCUCCUUCUUCCUCUACGGGAACACCGGCAGAUGACCCGCUGGCAGGUUUGAGGAAAUUUCAGGACAGCUUCUUGUCCUUCCUAAACAGCCCAAGUAAUGGUCAGCGAAGUGCAUCAGGCAAACCACUUGCUGCUCCUAGUCCUUACUGUGACUUCUGUCUUGGAGAUAGUAAUGAAAACAAAAAAACCAGACUAGCAGAAGAACUGGUUUCUUGUGCUGAUUGUGGUCGUUCAGUUCACCCCCAACAUGACAGCUUCAGUGAAACAGUAUCGUUGGCAGUGCAUUGAAUGCAAAUCAUGUGGUCUGUGUGGAACCUCGGACAAUGAUGACCAGCUUUUGUUCUGUGAUGACUGUGACCGAGGAUACCAUAUGUACUGCUUGAAUCCUCCUUUAUCAAAUCCUCCAGAAGGGUCUUGGAGCUGCCACCUGUGUAUUGAAGAAUAUCAUGGAGGAAGAAUACAGAUGGG